rnacentral:rRNA from 1 species
AGAGUUUGAUCCUGGCUCAGGACGAACGCUGGCGGCGCGCCUAACACAUGCAAGUCGAACGAGAGAUGAGGAGCUUGCUCUUCAAAUCGAGUGGCGAACGGGUGAGUAACGCGUGAGGAACCUGCCUCAAAGAGGGGGACAACAGUUGGAAACGACUGCUAAUACCGCAUAAGCCCACGGCUCGGCAUCGAGCAGAGGGAAAAGGAGCAAUCCGCUUUGAGAUGGCCUCGCGUCCGAUUAGCUAGUUGGUGAGGUAACGGCCCACCAAGGCGACGAUCGGUAGCCGGACUGAGAGGUUGAACGGCCACAUUGGGACUGAGACACGGCCCAGACUCCUACGGGAGGCAGCAGUGGGGAAUAUUGCACAAUGGGGGAAACCCUGAUGCAGCGACGCCGCGUGGAGGAAGAAGGUCUUCGGAUUGUAAACUCCUGUUGUUGAGGAAGAUAAUGACGGUACUCAACAAGGAAGUGACGGCUAACUACGUGCCAGCAGCCGCGGUAAAACGUAGGUCACAAGCGUUGUCCGGAAUUACUGGGUGUAAAGGGAGCGCAGGCGGGAGAACAAGUUGGAAGUGAAAUCCAUGGGCUCAACCCAUGAACUGCUUUCAAAACUGUUUUUCUUGAGUAGUGCAGAGGUAGGCGGAAUUCCCGGUGUAGCGGUGGAAUGCGUAGAUAUCGGGAGGAACACCAGUGGCGAAGGCGGCCUACUGGGCACCAACUGACGCUGAGGCUCGAAAGUGUGGGUAGCAAACAGGAUUAGAUACCCUGGUAGUCCACACCGUAAACGAUGAUUACUAGGUGUUGGAGGAUUGACCCCUUCAGUGCCGCAGUUAACACAAUAAGUAAUCCACCUGGGGAGUACGACCGCAAGGUUGAAACUCAAAGGAAUUGACGGGGGCCCGCACAAGCAGUGGAGUAUGUGGUUUAAUUCGACGCAACGCGAAGAACCUUACCAAGUCUUGACAUCCCUUGACGAUGCUGGAAACAGCAUUUCUCUUCGGAGCAAGGAGACAGGUGGUGCAUGGUUGUCGUCAGCUCGUGUCGUGAGAUGUUGGGUUAAGUCCCGCAACGAGCGCAACC